GCGUGAGUGAAGAAGGCCUUAGGGUUGUAAAACUCUUUCGCCGGAGAAGAUAAUGACGGUAUCCGGAGAAGAAGCCCCGGCUAACUUCGUGCCAGCAGCCGCGGUAAUACGAAGGGGGCUAGCGUUGUUCGGAAUUACUGGGCGUAAAGCGCACGUAGGCGGGUGUGUAAGUAGGGGGUGAAAUCCCCGGGCUCAACCCGGGAACUGCCUUCUAGACUGCAUACCUGGAGGUCAGGAGAGGCGAGUGGAAUUCCGAGUGUAGAGGUGAAAUUCGU
rnacentral:rRNA from 1 species